GUGAAUCAUCGAAUUUUUGAACGCAAAUUGCACUCUCCUGCGAGAUGAUGGCUGUUUGUGUUUGAGCCUAUAAUAAAUCAACAUCGUUUCUUUUUGUUGGUGGCGUUCGUCUGAAAUCAGGUCAUCUUAAAUAGUUUUGAGUUAAGCGACUUAAAAUUGUGUUGUGGGUCCAUUAACGUUUCUAAGAUCUAUCUCUUUACACGUUUAAGGUAUCGAUUGUUACUAGACGUGACCAUCAUAUCGUAUCGAGUCCAUCAUCCUUCAUUU
rnacentral:misc_RNA from 1 species